UCUGGCUCAGAAGCUGCUGAAACUUAUUCUGUGAUCAGCUCAGUACCCUUACCGGCCCUGCCUUUCGACACCAGUGGAGACAUAAAAGUGGAUUCUAAGAUAACAGUGGUCGACACGUAUCAUGUGUACAGCUCCAUCCCUGACACACACGUGACCACCAAUGACGCAGUGUACAGCCUGCUGCAGAUGCACUGAUGUAUAUUACACCUUAAUGAAUGUAAAUAGUUAUUUACAGUAUUAUUCUUAUGCCUGUUAUGCCUUAACAUGUGCUUUAAUUGAAUAGCUUGCUUUUGGAUUUGAAAUGAAUUGGACUGCUGCUGGCUUGUAACUGCGAUGUCACUGAAUGGAGCUCAAGACUGAGUCCAGAUUAAUAAAGAGCUGAUGGUUUUACAGUUGCUUCAUGAAUAAGUUUUUUACAGUUGCUUCAUGAAUAAGUAACUUUAUUACUAUUGUUUUUUUUAAAUUAUUAUUUUACACUCCUACAGCAGUUUCUGAAUCUUGCUUUUUUCCAUCCACAGCCUUUCUUCAAA
ensembl:lncRNA